rnacentral:tRNA from 1 species
CGGGGCGUAGCGCAGUCUGGUUAGCGCGUCAGACUGGGGGUCUGAAGGUCGCUGGUUCGAAUCCAGUCGCCCCGA